GUGCCAGCAGCCGCGGUAAAACGUAGGAGACAAACGUUAUCCGGAGUUACUGGGCGUAAAGGGCGUGUAGGCGGUUAGUUAAGUCUGGCGUGAAAGCUCUCGGCUAAACCGGGAGAGGUCGUUGGAUACUGGCUGACUGGAGGACGGUAGAGGCGUGUGGAAUUCCGGGUGUAGUGGUGAAAUGCGUAGAGAUCCGGAGGAACACCAGUGGCGAAGGCGACACGCUGGGCCGUACCUGACGCUAAAGCGCGACAGCAUGGGGAGCAAACGGGAUUAGAAACCCCAGUAGUCC
rnacentral:rRNA from 1 species